rnacentral:rRNA from 1 species
GACGGAGGAUGCAAGUGUUAUCCGGAAUCACUGGGCGUAAAGCGUCUGUAGGUGGUCAAAUAAGUCAACUGUUAAAUCUUGAGGCUCAACCUCGAAAUCGCAGUCGAAACUAUUAGACUAGAGUAUAGUGGGGGUAAAGGGAAUUUCCAGUGGAGCGGUGAAAUGCGUAGAGAUUGGAAAGAACACCGAUGGCGAAGGCACUUUACUGGGCUAUUACUAACACUCAGAGACGAAAGCUAGGGUAGCAAAUGGG